GGGGGAGAGGGCUAUCUGACUUUAACACCCGUCACCCCAUUGAUCGCUAGGCUUGAUUCGGCUGAGCUGGCUGGGUAGCCAGUUGUCCCCCCUCCCCCCUCACGGCUCCUCGUCCCUACAUCGGGAAGCUGUGUGCUCAGUCGAAGAGGACGACCAUCCCUGCUAGAGGAGGACCGGUCUUCGGUCAAGGGUAUACCAAUAGCUGCGCUCCCCUGCUAGAACCUCCAAACAAGCUCUCAAGAACUAGGUUUUCAGCUUUGAGAACAUAUUUAUUAACAACAAGAGUAGAAGUGAGAGUUACGGUUUAUGUGCUUAGCUUU
ensembl:misc_RNA 7SK 7SK RNA